AGUGAACGCUGGCGGUAGGCCUAACACAUGCAAGUCGAACGGCAGCACAGUAAGAGCUUGCUCUUACGGGUGGCGAGUGGCGGACGGGUGAGGAAUACAUCGGAAUCUACUUUUUCGUGGGGGAUAACGUAGGGAAACUUACGCUAAUACCGCAUACGACCUACGGGUGAAAGCAGGGGAUCUUCGGACCUUGCGCGAUUGAAUGAGCCGAUGUCGGAUUAGCUAGUUGGCGGGGUAAAGGCCCACCAAGGCGACGAUCCGUAGCUGGUCUGAGAGGAUGAUCAGCCACACUGGAACUGAGACACGGUCCAGACUCCUACGGGAGGCAGCAGUGGGGAAAUUGGACAAUGGGCGCAAGCCUGAUCCAGCCAUACCGCGUGGGUGAAGAAGGCCUUCGGGUUGUAAAGCCCUUUUGUUGGGAAAGAAAAGCAGCAGGUUAAUACCCCGCUGUUCUGACGGUACCCAAAGAAUAAGCACCGGCUAACUUCGUG
rnacentral:rRNA from 1 species